rnacentral:rRNA from 1 species
GACGAACGCUGGCGGCGUGCUUAACACAUGCAAGUGGAGCGACGAACCAGGGCUUGCCCUGGGGCAGAGCCGCGAACGGGUGAGUAACACGUGGGGAACCUACCCCGAAGACUGGGACAACCCGGGGAAACUCGGGCUAAUACCAGAUGUGGUCCCACUACAUAAGUGGUGUGACUAAAGGAAGCUUCGGCCUCCGCUUUGGGAGGGUCCCGCGGCGCAUUAGCUUGUUGGUGAGGUAACGGCUCACCAAGGCUUCGAUGCGUAGCUGGUCUGAGAGGACGAUCAGCCACACUGGGACUGAGAAACGGCCCAGACUCCUACGGGAGGCAGCAGUGGGGAAUCUUGCGCAAUGGGCGACAGCCUGACGCAGCAACGCCGCGUGGGGGAAGAAGGCCUUCGGGUUGUAAACCUCUUUCAGGAGGGGCGAAGCUUUGCCGGUGAAUAGCCGUGUGAAGUGACGGUACCUCCACAAGCAGCCCCGGCUAACUACGUGCCAGCCGCCGCAGUAACAC